rnacentral:snRNA from 1 species
GUUCAUUCCUAAAAAUAUAAUAACAUUGAAACAAUAGAGGGAAGAUCAAAACGACUCAUGCGCAAGGAUGAAAAGCAGAUUUGUGAAUUGUAACAAUUUUUU